CACCGCCCGUCACACCAUGGGAGUUUGUUGCACCAGAAGCAGGUAGCCUAACCGCAAGGAGGGCGACUACCACGGUGAGAUUCAUGACUGGGGUG
rnacentral:rRNA from 1 species